rnacentral:lncRNA from 1 species
CUGCUGUCCUAUUGGAUGACUGAACUAAAUCCAAAUUCAACCCUCUGGGGGUACAAUCCCAGAAGGAAAGACAAUUUCAUCCUCAGCACCUUAAAGAGAAGUCUCACAUGUAUGCCCUUUAACAGUUAAGGGGCUUUCAAAUUAAGGGUCUGCAUCUCCCUGACCCACCGUUUAAACCUGUCUUCCUUUGUGAGCAACAUCAGCAUAAGUGAUGGAUUUACUGGAGCUCAGCACAUCUCCCACCUCCCCUAGCAGUUUAGUUGGCCCCCAAGUCAAAUCAGGUUAGAGCAAAAUCCUGGGCAAACUAGCCGUGCCUCAGGGCCUUGCCUGAUGAUCCAAUUCCAAAGCAGGGCCCAGUUCCAAAACUUUUGUUCCGAGUUUGAGAGACAUGGCUACAAUACAGUAGAAUACUGUUUGUGCCUUCUCUCUGACAAAGCCAAGGGCAGUGGGGGCCAGAGGCCAGUUUACUAGGACAACAAACCAGCUUCUCUUCUUUCCCUAAAGUAAAAGAGGAAAUGCCUUGGCAGCACCCGUAGGGAGAGGGAGUCCUGGGAAGAAACUGGCUGGUAUCUCUAUCUCUUCUCUUCCGUGUGUGAGGGUUUCUGUCUGGCCCUUCUAAUCUACAGAGUCCCCCAGGCCAGCUGGGCAGCUGCAUUCCAAGGACGAAGUGCCUCUUUGAAGUUGGAAGCUCUAGAUGUCUUGCCCUACGUCUUGCUAAAGCUCUGCAGAAUGAUCAAAAUAACUGAGACUUGAGCUGCCUUCCUUCCAGAAGAGGUUUCCUAGGGCAAGAUGACACACAGCCACAUUUUAUGAGUCCUCCAGACGAGCCAGUUGCAAGGCGGUUGCCAGGCCAAGUAAAAUCCAGAUGGUGUCCUCUGUAUUCCCAAGAGUUUGGGAUUUUGGAGGUGUGACAUGGGGAGCAAAGGAUUUUGGCCAUGGUCUAGCUACAUACCAAAGACUGGACUUCAGUCACAGAAUAAGGUCACACAUUGAACAUUUAGACAAUCAUCAGUUCUUGCCAAGAAAUAACUCAAGAGUUAAGCCGUUACUGAAUCUGCAUUCAACAUUUGUGUCGGAGAUUGAAAUCCAAAAGGUAAUCUUUUUCUCUCAUCCCUCAUAA